AGAAAAGGUGGGGGUUGGGGGCUUGGGUCAUCAUCUCUCGACCUCAUACUUCUUUGUGUUGCUUAACAACUUUAUUGUUAAAGUUGCUUGAUUAAUACCAUGAAUUUAUGUUUCUAGUAUUAUAAAAGUUGAAAUUCAAUGGAAUAGUCUUAUGUGGUGCCCAACCUGCAAUGAUGGUGGACAAAAGGUAUGAGAAGAAUCCUAAAUCUUUUUAAACAACACAAAUGCUUGUUAAUUGUUAUCAGAAAGUUGGCCUCAGCUUACUGGAAUGAUGUUUUCUCUUCCUCGCAAGUCUUCCAUCAGCUCUGAUGGGCCAGUUGUUUGUGCCCUGCCUUGAGAAUCAGUCAAGUUGAAAUGGAAAUUGUUCAUAUAUCUUCCUUCUGAUCUGGAUGAGCACCUACUUAUGAGAAUAGCCAUCAAAAAUGAACAAGUCAUGCUAAUACUCCUCUUUUAUCUGCAUUUUUUUUUAUAAUCGUUCAUCAUAAAACCUUUUGUUUUCCAUAGUUACUCAUCUUAGCAUAUAUGUCCUUCUUCCUCCAUUUUCAACACCCCUCAUCCCUCCCCCGAUGCAAAGAAGGAAAAAUUUAAAGGAAAUCCAAAUGGAUCAACAAAAAGAAAAUCAACUGUGAAGAGGCACCUCCCAUUAUUUCCGUGGUUGAUGGUCCACAUAGUAGUAUAUAGGCGACAGUUUUUUAAGCAUCUUCAUCCUUUACAUUUGAAAACUGAGAAAAUGGCUAAUGUUUGAUGCAGGUGAUUGCACUGUAUUUACGAUCCAAACUCAAGGAUGUUGAUGCACAAAACAAACAUUCAUGGGAGACUUUUCCAGAAGAACAAGAUGGUCGGCCAGAUUUCAUAUUUUUGGAUGGAUCACCGAGCUCUAUUUACUUAAGGGGAAAAUGGUUAUGUGAGAAUGUUGAAUGGAGUCCUUCCAAAGGACAUCGAAUUGUGGGCUGGUGUCCUGUUCCAAGUGACUUCGGUGCAAGGUCCUUCUAAAUGCUUAAUAAAGCUUUACUAAUUAGAACUUAUUAACUAUAAUGUGUUUGCAUAAUCAGUCAUCUUAUUGUGAAGUGCAGGUUCAGCUGAUUGAGCAGGGAAUAUAAAUGUCACUUUUGGGGUGACAAUUUGAAUCUCUUGGCAUGCAGUUCUUUUAUUGUUAGUUUUCUUUUUUCUUUUUUGGACUUAACAUGUAACACGUCUAAUUUUAUGCUGCUUGCUAUGCAGCAAAAGUGCUCAACAUUAAUUCUAUCACCAUUUUUCAUGUUACCCCUGGUUAUGGAAGAGUGCAGGUAAGAAAUUUAUGGGGGAACAUGAUUUCAGAAACUUAUGCAAGACGGAUGCAGUGAAGUGCAGAAUUGUAGGCGACAUGUGACAUCAUUUGAGAUCUCUCCUUGUGAUUUGAGGCAGGAUGAAAUAUUUGGUGCUGCAUGGUGACACAAGUGUCACGGGGAGUGUUGGAUGGAUGAUUAGGAAGCUAAGCAUCAGAACUAAGUGAAUAAACGUGCUUGAUUCCAAUUUAUGACAAGAAACAGGAAGUCCUUUAUUUAUUUUGACCACUUCACUGAAAUCCCUUUAUGAACCUGCUUUGCUGGCAGUUAUUCAAAUUGAGACCUUACUAUUUCUUUUGCAGGUUUAAAGGGCAUCAACUUUGUGCUAUAAAAAUCAAAGGCAGUGCUUUCCUGUUGCACCAAGUUUGUUGCAUGGUUGCUGUGCUACUUAUGAUUGGCCAAGGUCUUGAAUCCCCUGAUGUUUAACAGCUUGCACUACUCUACAUUUGCUUUAGCUGAAUGUCCACAAAUGACUAGAAUAUUACAUCUGAACAAGAUGAGCACCCACAAGAGGGACCAUUUGCACUGCUUUGCAGUUGCUCUGAACAAUCUACUGUGAUAUAUGCGGGCGGGGACCAUUCCGAAGCAACAUUCAGCAUAUGUUGGCAUACAGUAAAGCAUGAGGAAUCCUCUGUUUGAGCUAAAAUUUCCUCGUGAAUUGACAAUCCAGAUGAUAAUAUUUGCCUUUUGCUUUCCAGUUUACAACUUUGAGAAAAUUCCUCAAGUUUCAUCCUUUCACUUGGGAGAUUUUGAAAGCCAGACAAGUUAAUAGAUGCAUUACUGGACACUCGAAGGACACCAAGGAAACCCCAGUAUCUCAUGGCUCCAGAAAUUCCAUUGGUUCUUCUUCCUGUGAGUUUGAAGGUCUCAAGUUUGCAUGUUCUUCAGUGUUACUGAGUUAGUGCAUAGAUGCUAGACAAGCUCUGCAUGGUCACUUGGAGAAUGAAUGUCGGCUUUACCAGCUCCGGGCUGCUGCUUUUCUUGGUCUACGUUGCUGAUGCCAUUUCUGACUUUUCAGAUAAAGACUCAUCGAGUAAUGGAGUGAUAAGAUAGAAAGCCUCUCAUGCCCCUCUCAUGUCAAGAACAACUGAGCUCAAGUCCUCCUACCACACCUCAAACAUCAUCAUAGUUUUACUUCAAAGAUGGAAUUGUGCGUGCGUUGUCUUUAAGUGUUAUUGAAUUCUCUCUUUAUAAAAAGGCUGGAUGUGAUAAAAAUUAGACUUACAAGUCGGCCAGUAUCAUUUUUACAA